UCCACCUCCCGCGGGAAAGUUCAGGGAAAAGAAGCGCCAACGUCUGGUAUGCAGAAGUGGUGAUAGAAGAAGCCUUCUGAUUGGCCAGAGGCUGGCUUAGACCAUCUUCUGAAGGAAUGGGGAUUCGCCGUAUCCUUCUGGAAGUGGGUUCGCCCACGAGUGGGAGGGUCGGGAGCGCGGGAGACUGGAGCGGCGCUUGCGCAGUAGACGAGGCUGCUGUUGCGGGAGCGGAGCUCCGAACCGGUUUGAUAUCGCGGAAGUUCUUGCGGUUCUCCCACUUUCCAGAUUUCGGGGAGCGCUGCGUAAGGUCCAUCAAGAAACCCAGUCCUUGGCCCGCAUCUCGCAGGGAAAUGAUUUUUAAAGCCCAGGGUUGUUAUGCACUUUAAAAUGUAAAAUAUGAAAGUUAUGUCUGUGAACAAAGGGAGACAAGUGAGCUUUGAUGUGGGGGAGCGGUUGCUCUCAGGAAUUUGAGGCUAUACUUUCCUCUGGGUCCAGCCCCUCUUGUAAAAUGGAGAACGUUAUUACAUCCCACACACUGAAUGAAAGCGAGCAUCCAGGACACUGCCUGUCCCACAGGGACGUCCGUAUCAGUUCCGGGGAGGCUCCUCUUGCUCUGCCGUCAGGAAUCCCAGAAUGAAAUCACUGCCAUCUUCCUGACCUGGGCACGUCGCCUCAGCCCUGAGCCUGUUUCCUCACCUUUAAAAAUGCACUAGUGAAACCCACCUCAGGGGGUUGUCCUGAGGCUAAAAAAGAAAGUCUGUAAGUGCCUGGUACAUAGUAGGUGCUCAACAGUGAGGAAUGGAUGAAUGAGAAGAGAUUUAGUCGGACAGAUUUGGUUUAUCACCACUAUCAUAGGUUUGCCAGAUGCAUGCACUCUUGUUCUCACUCCUGUGGCCCCCUUGGGAUGGCUUCCUGCUGAAAAGGACUCUCAGCCAAGAUGUUUGCCCCUGGGAUUUGCCAUCACAUGCCUUUGAGUUACCUGGAACUUCUCUCAGCUGCUCGGUAUCUCACUGCGGCUGCCAGGCUUGUGCAGAGCAAUGAACAUGCACACACCUCUAUGAAUUGCUAUGAAUGCUUCAGCCUUGAAUCGGGAAUGAAAUGAUGCAAGUUGUCUGGAAUUUUCUUUCCUCGGCAAUCAGUCCUGGUGUGAUGGUUAAGACCUGUCUCCUGCAUUUCCCUUACCUACUCUUGCUCUCUGGAGGCAUCAUGCAAGUCUGUCUCAGACACCCCAGGCCUCGGAGAUGAGAGAGGACGGAUGGAGUUUGUCACCAUCUCCAAUAUGUGUCUGAGAUGUCAUAUCCCCUCAGCCUGCCGGACAUUGUGGGGCCUCAGACGAAAUAGAAAAGCCUGCACCUGGUUUUCAGCAAGCGGAGUACCAGACACGAAGUCUGAAGACUGCACCUGAAUGACUGCCAUUUGUUAGGCCGUGGGAUGACUCUGGGUGAGUCAUUUCAUUUCCUUGGACCUCACUGGUUUCCUUUGUAAAAGGGGAGGAAUAAUUCCUAUUUUGUACUGUGACUUUGGGCAAGUGAUUUUAUUUCUCAGAGACUCGGGCUUUUUGUCCAUAAAAUAUGGAUAAUAAUAUUACUCACUUUAUGGGGUGGUUGUGAAGAGUAAAUAAAAUAACAUGUGUAAAGCAUUUAACACAGCAUCUAAGUGAGAGGUGCCUAGUUAUGGGUGAUGAUGAUGAUGAUGGAAGACGAGGAGUCAAAAAAGAAGACCAGGAGCAGAGGAGGGACCACGAUGAGGUGAAUAAAAAGGAGGGGGAAAAGGAGACCAGUUGGAGGCUCCUGAGUGCGGGCACUUUGAUUCAUUAGCUCAUGCAGUUCUACUAAUUAUGCCACACAUAAGGUGACCACUUCAUCUGCAUUUGAUGAUCGAGGAAACAGAGGUCACUGUUGUGACUUGUCCGAGGUCACCAGCAGCUAAUAGUAAAGCCAGCAUUUGCUUUGUAAUUUUUCUUGAUAAAGAGCCAGCAUUUGAAUAUUCAACCCUGAAGACCUUUUUGGUUCUAAGCCUCCCUAUAGUGCCCAGCACCAUGCUUGGCACAUAGUUGGUGAUCAAUAAAUCAGAAUUUGUCUUUGAGUUUUUAUCCCUCUAAAUUAUGCUGCGGGAGUUGCUCCAAGGCCUGUGGCCCAUUUCUUUGUGAGCCCCCAAUAAGGAAGGUAGUCUUCCUUCCAGAGCAUGCUGGUUAUUAAGCUAUCAUCUCAGCCCCAAACCCACCCUUUCCUGUGUUCCACUCUGUGGUGCUGGGGCUGGGACUGCAAAUCCCUUUCUUUGCAGCCAGCUGCCUCCUGUUGGGCCCUGCCACUAGUGGGCGCUGGAGGGAGACUGCGAAGCUGGAAGGAGAAGGGCCUUGGGUUCUCCCGGUUGCUGUUCUGAGAAUCACCCAGCCUCACUUCUGCACCCUAGCAAUGGCCUUUCAUCUCCAUGGCAACAUUUGUUACCCUCUUCAGCUUUUUCCAGCACCCCCAAACCAGCCCCACUGCAUUCCCUUCAGAUCCCAGAGCCAGCUGGGUAGUAUCCCUUCCCCAGCUGCCUGGAUCUCAGCUCUCUGGAGUCCCUUCUCUGAACCUCUGGGUCCUAAGACCUGUCUGAACA